rnacentral:rRNA from 1 species
GACGAACGCUGGCGGCGUGCUUAACACAUGCAAGUCGAACGGAAAGGCCCUGCUUUUGUGGGGUGCUCGAGUGGCGAACGGGUGAGUAACACGUGAGUAACCUGCCCUUGACUUUGGGAUAACUUCAGGAAACUGGGGCUAAUACCGGAUAGGAGCUCCUGCUGCAUGGUGGGGGUUGGAAAGUUUCGGCGGUUGGGGAUGGACUCGCGGCUUAUCAGCUUGUUGGUGGGGUAGUGGCUUACCAGGGCUUUGACGGGUAGCCGGCCUGAGAGGGUGACCGGCCACAUUGGGACUGAGAUACGGCCCAGACGCCUACGGGAGGCAGCAGUGGGGAAUAUUGCACAAUGGGCGGAAGCCUGAUGCAGCAACGCCGCGUGCGGGAGGACGGCCUUCGGGUUGUAAACCGCUUUCGCCUGUGACGAAGCGUGAGUGACGGUAAUGGGUAAAGAAGCACCGGCUAACUACGU